ensembl:lncRNA
AAGAGACAUGUUUUAAAAGAAUAAUAUUUAACUUUAAUAUGAUCUCUUAUAGACAAUAGACAUUAGCUGUAUUAAAUACAUUUUGUUGGAUUCCAGUUUUCAGAGUUAAUCCACUUUUUCUUUCACAUUCUUUAAAAGCAUCAACACAUCUUAACUCCAGUCAAUGAGUGACCAACCUAAAACCCAUCAUAUAAGCGUUUUAAUGCCAAUGCAAUAGAAUCUGAAACAAUUAUUAUUUACAUGUAGAUACAAAUAUAUAUCACAAACAAGUAUUAUUGAUAAAUGUACAAUGACCAGCUCUAUAAAAUUACAAAUAUACUUCUAUUAUAAAAAGCCAUUUCUUAAAUACUCUUCCAGCUCAAGUUUUGUAUAAAGGACGCAUAGUAUGUGAGAUGGUGUUUGUCUGUCUGACAGUGUCCCAAUACUUUUACAAAGCUUAAUUUCCUUAAUCUCCUUCCUAAUAUCCUCCCCUAGUCUCCUCCAUGACUUGUAAAAGUUUAUAAACUAGGGCUGUGUCAGAAAUAAUACCCAAUGUUAUAUAGUGCAAUAGGACAUGAGGUGCUAUUUCACAUUUGCCCAUUCUAAUUGUGUAAACGAACCUAUUUAACAUAUCCAGUACAAACAGAUCAGCUCAUGAAGGAAAGGAGAUGAGGAAGAGGAAAGGAGAUGAGGAGAUGACAAUGUCUUAUACUAUUGGGACGCAGCCUUGAGAUGAAGUUGUUCAGUACUUCUGACAGCCACUUUGACUGUCCCUGUUCACAGCACUCCUGGAGUUUGUGUGUGUGUGUGUGUGUGUGUGUGUGUGUGUGUGUGUGUGUGUGUGUGUGUGUGUGUGUGUGUGUGUUUGUUGGGGGGGCGCCUGGGUGUCUGGACAGGGAGUCCCCUCCUCUCGAUGGCAACACUCCAAAAAGGGUCUCUGUCACUCUGAUUGGGCUCUAUGUCACAUGCCUAAGGAGAGACAGACAGAGAGACGAUGUUUGAUUAGUAAUGGACUGUAGACUCCUCUACGUACCUCAGGUCAGAGGGAUAGACCAAGGGGGCGGAGGUAAACUGUAGACCCUAAUAAUAACAUGUCGACUGACUGACUGACCCAUUGCCUAACGUGUCUAACUGACUGACCGUCCCAUUGCCUAACGUGUCUGUCUGACUGACUGACUGUCCAUUGCCUAACGUGUCUGACUGACUAACUGACUGACUGUCCCAUUGCCUAACGUGUCUGACGGACUGACUGUCCCAUUGCCUAACGUGUCUGACUGACUAACUGACUGACCAUCCCAUUGCCUAACGUGUCUGACUGACUGAGUGACUGUCCCAUUGCCUAAUGUGUCUGACUGACUGACUGACCGUCCCAUUGCCUAAUGUGUCUGACUGACUGACCGUCCCAUUGCCUAACGUAUCUGACUGACUGACUGACUGUCCCAUUGCCUAACGUGUCUGACUGACUAACUGACUGACUGUCCCAUUGCCUAACGUGUCUGACGGACUGACUGUCCCAUUGCCUAACGUGUCUGACUGACUGACUGUCCCAUUGCCUAACAUGUCUGACUGACUGACUGACUGACCGUCCCAUUGCCUAACGUGUCUGACUGACUGACUGUCCCAUUGCCUAACGUGUCUGACUGACUGACUGUCCCAUUGCCUAACGUGUCUGACUGACUCACUGUCCCAUUGCCUAACAUGUCUGACUGACUGACUGUCCCAUUGCCUAAUGUGUCUGACUGACUAACUGACUGACUGUCCCAUUGCCUAACGUGUCUGACUGACUGACUGUCCCAUUGCCUAACGUGUCUGACUGACUGACUGUCCCAUUGCCUAACAUGUCUGACUGACUGACUGACUGACCGUCCCAUUGCCUAACGUGUCUGACUGACUGACUGACCAUCCCAUUGCCUAACGUGUCUGACUGACUGACUGACUGACCAUCCCAUUGCCUAACGUGUCUAACUGACUGACCGUCCCAUUGCCUAACAUGUCUGACUGACUGACUGACCGUCCUAUUGCCUAACGUGUCUGACUGACUGACUGAACAUCCCAUUGCCUAACGUGUCUAACUGACUGACUGACUGACCGUCCCAUUGCCAAACAUGUCUGACUGACAGACUGACCGUCCCAUUGCCUAACAUGUAUAACUGACUGACCGUCCCAUUGCCUAAUGUGUCUGACUGACUGACUGUCCCAUUGCCUAACGUAUCUGACUGACUGACCGUCCCAUUGCCUAACGUGUCUGACUGACUGACCGUCCCAUUGCCUAACAUGUCUGACUGACUGACUGACCGUCCCAUUGCCUAACAUGUCUGACUGACUGACUGACCGUCCCAUUGCCUAACAUGUCUGACUGACUGACUGACUGACCGUCCCAUUGCCUAACAUGUCUGACUGACUGACUGACCGUGCCAUUGGUUUGAAUGAAGAACAUUCAGUACUCCGUUAUUAACGGACUAGGAUUCGCUGUCGGUCGGUCUUAAGAAUAGCACAUGAACACUUCCAUUGGCCAAUCCAUUUACUGUUGAUAUUCCGCCCCAGGUUUUACAUGGGAACAUUCCAAUGUAACCGCCCCUGAGGAGAGUUCCAACACUCUGGAGUACUGGAGAAAUCCAGAACAAAUAAACAGAGCUAUGUUGGUCUGUAUCCGGUACAUAAACUCAGCUCUCUCUCUCUCGGGUUACGCUCUAACAUAAUUGUUCGCGUGUGUGUGUACGUGUGUGUGUACAGGUGUGUGUGUACGUGUGUGUGUGUCUGUGUGUGUGUGUGUGCGCGCGCGUGUGUGUGUGUGCGCAUGUGUGUGUACGUGUGUGUGUACGUGUGUGUGUGUCUGUGUGUGUGUGUGUGUGCGUGUGUGUGUGUGCGCGUGUGUGUGCGCAUGUGUGUGUACGUGUGUGUGUGUACAUGUGUUUGUGUGUGUGCAUGUGUGUGCAUGUGUGUGCACGUGUGUGUGUGUACAUGUGUGUGUGUACGUGUGUGUGUGUCUGUGUGUGUGUGUGCGUGUGUGUGUGCGCGUGUGUGUGCGCAUGUGUGUGUACGUGUGUGUGUGUGUAUGUGUGUGUGUACAUGUGU